UACGUAGGGUGCAGGCGUUAAUCGGAAUUACUGGGCGUAAAGCGUGCGCAGGCGGUCUUUUAAGUCAGUGGUGAAAGCCUCCAGCUCAACUGGAGAACUGCCAUUGAUACUGACGGGCUUGAGUACAGACGAGGUUGGCGGAAUUGAUUGUGUAGCGGUGAAAUGCAUAGAUACAAUCAAGAACUCCGAUUGCGUAGGCAGCUAACUAGGCUGUAACUGACGCUGAGGCACGAAAGCGUGGGGAGCGAACAGG
rnacentral:rRNA from 1 species